UGAGGACCCGUGGCCUGAUCGCGGU
rnacentral:miRNA from 1 species